rnacentral:sRNA from 1 species
CGCAUCUGAAUGCUUCUUGAUACCGCCAGCAAUGGCAAUUUCCAGAACAAAGAUGUUGAAGAAGGCUGGGAAUUGGUUGAGAACUUGGCUCAAUCAGAUGGUAAUUACAACGAGGAUUGCGAGAGGACCAUCAGAGGCACAGCAGAUUCUGAUGACAAACACAUGAAGGAGAUCAAAGCGCUGAAUGACAAGCUGGACAGAAUUCUACUUAGCGAGUAGAAGCAUGUGCACUUCCUUGUUGAUGACGAGCAGUAUCAAAUCUAAGAUGGGGAGGGGAACCAGUUAGAAGAAGUUAGCUACAUCAACAAUCAAGGUGGCUACAAAGGAUACAGCAACUUCAAAACCAACAACCCCAACCUCUCCUACUGCAGCACAAACGUCGCUUAUCCUCAGGACCAUGUGUAUCCUCCACAGCAACAACAAGGUCAAAUAAAACCUUUUGUUCCCUACAACAAAAGUUUUGUUCCCAAACAGCAAUUUCAAGGGAACUAUCAGCCGCAACCACCACCU